UAAGAGCUUGCUCUUAUGAAGUUAGCGGCGGACGGGUGAGUAACACGUGGGUAACCUGCCCAUAAGACUGGGAUAACUCCGGGAAACCGGGGCUAAUACCGGAUAACAUUUUGAACCGCAUGGUUCGAAAUUGAAAGGCGGCUUCGGCUGUCACUUAUGGAUGGACCCGCGUCGCAUUAGCUAGUUGGUGAGGUAACGGCUCACCAAGGCAACGAUGCGUAGCCGACCUGAGAGGGUGAUCGGCCACACUGGGACUGAGACACGGCCCAGACUCCUACGGGAGGCAGCAGUAGGGAAUCUUCCGCAAUGGACGAAAGUCUGACGGAGCAACGCCGCGUGAGUGAUGAAGGCUUUCGGGUCGUAAAACUCUGUUGUUAGGGAAGAACAAGUGCUAGUUGAAUAAGCUGGCACCUUGACGGUACCUAACCAGAAAGCCACGGCUAACUACGUGCCAGCAGCCGCGGUAAUACGUAGGUGGCAAGCGUUAUCCGGAAUUAUUGGGCGUAGAGCGCGCGCAGGUGGUUUCUUAUGUCUGAUGUG
rnacentral:rRNA from 1 species